rnacentral:lncRNA from 1 species
AUCAUAUGUCAAUAUUUAACCAUAUUGAUCAUAGUUCAGACUUUGUCCAAAGCAGGAGACCUGAAAUUUUAGUGGAAUUUUUAUUGAAAAGGAAUGUUAGUGUUUUGAACUGCUUUUGAUCCCAUAUUUUGGUUAGAACAUAAAGUAUUUGAUUGAAUAUAGUACAUCAUAACUGAAACAUUUAUGUAAGUAGAACCUGUCUCAAUCAUCUAAAACUAAUGGAACCAGAUGAAACUGCUCACGAGGCCAAAGGACCGUUUUCAGUCCAUAUCAGCUGGAAUGUGUCAGAUCCUGGAUUAACAAGCUCCAAAACUAAUAUUCUAAACCUUGAUUGUGACGGUUUCUCCAUGGUUUACAUAAAAUAUGUGCUAAGAUUAAGUGUCAGCAGGAGAUAGUGAGCAGUUGGAAUCAACCUACAAUUAAAGAGCAUUUUGAUUGGGUGUAUUUGGCCCAUAACAACAGGUCGUGGCGUCAAGUUGUUCACUUGGUGCCCUUCUGAUUUUAGUGUUCACUGAAGCCUGAAAGAUUAGAGGUAUUUAAGUUGCCAUCACUUUCCAAAAAAACAAAAAAAAAUAACUACCCAUUCUUACUAUCUG